UACAGAGGUCUCGAGCGUUAGGCGGAAUCACUGGGCUUAAAGCGUGUGUAGGCGGAUUGGUAAGUACUUUGUGAAAUCCCACGGCUUAACCGUGGAACUGCUUGGUAUACUGCCAGUCUUGAGCCAGCUAGGGGCUACCGGAACAAAUGGUGGAGCGGUGAAAUGCGUAGAUAUCAUUUGGAACGCCAAUGGUGAAAACAGGGUAGCCUGGGGGCUGUGCUGACGCUGAGACACGGAAAGCCAGGGGAGCAAACGGG
rnacentral:rRNA from 1 species